UGCCCCAUGGCUGAGUUGGUUACAGCGUCCGACUGUUACUUCCUGAACAUCGGAAGGUCGUGAGUUCGAGCCUCACUGGGGCAG
rnacentral:tRNA from 1 species